AGCGAACGCUGGCGGCAGGCCUAACACAUGCAAGUCGAACGGACCCUUCGGGGUUAGUGGCGGACGGGUGAGUAACACGUGGGAACGUGCCUUUAGGUUCGGAAUAGCUCCUGGAAACGGGUGGUAAUGCCGAAUGUGCCCUUCGGGGGAAAGAUUUAUCGCCUUUAGAGCGGCCCGCGUCUGAUUAGCUAGUUGGUGAGGUAAUGGCUCACCAAGGCGACGAUCAGUAGCUGGUCUGAGAGGAUGACCAGCCACAUUGGGACUGAGACACGGCCCAAACCCCUACGGGAGGCAGCAGUGGGGAAUCUUGCGCAAUGGGCGAAAGCCUGACGCAGCCAUGCCGCGUGGAUGAUGAAGGUCUUAGGAUUGUAAAAUCCUUUCACCGGUGAAGAUAAUGACUGUAGCCGGAGAAGAAGCCCCGGCUAACUUCGUGCCAGCAGCCGCCGUAAGAC
rnacentral:rRNA from 1 species